rnacentral:rRNA from 1 species
UACGUAGGUGGCAAGCGUUGUCCGGAUUUAUUGGGGUUAAAGGGUGCGUAGGCGGUCUAUUAAGUCAGCGGCGAAAUACUCCAGCUUAACUGGAGGGGUGCCAUUGAUACUGAUGGACUUGAGUCAAGUCGAGGUAGGCGGAAUUGACGGUGUAGCGGUGAAAUGCUUAGAUAUCGUCAAGAACACCAAUAGUGAAGACAGCUUACUGGGCUUAAACUGACGCUGAGGCACGAAAGUGUGGGGAUCAAACAGG